AACGAACGCUGGCGGCAGGCCUAAAACAUGCAAGUCGAACGCCCCGCAAGGGGAGUGGCGCACGGGUGAGUAACGCGUGGGAACGUGCCCCUUAGUACGGGACAACGUCGGGAAACUGACGCUAAUACCGUAUAAUAUCUCCGGAUCAAAGAUUUAUCGCUGAGGGAGCGGCCCGCGUCUGAUUAGCUAGUUGGUGAGGUAAAGGCUCACCAAGGCUACGAUCAGUAGCAGGUCUGAGAGGAUGAUCUGCCACACUGGGACUGAGACACGGCCCAGACUCCUACGGGAGGCAGCAGUUAGGAAUAUUGGACAAUGGGGGAAACCCUGAUCCAGCCAUGCCGCGUGUGUGAUGAAGGCCCUAGGGUUGUAAAGCACUUCCGUUGGGGAUGAUAAUGACCGUACCCAAAGAAGAAGCCACGGCUAAAUUCGUGCCAGCAGCCGCCGUAA
rnacentral:rRNA from 1 species